AAAAAUCGGCAUCUUCUUGAGGUAGCUAAGGCAGUUCUUUUCCAAAUGAAAGUACCUAAACAUUUUUUGGCCGAUGUAGUUUCUACAGCAUUUUUUUUUAUCAAUCGCAUGUCAUCUUCUGUCCUUGAUGGGACAUUCCUUAUACUAUUUUAUUUUCAUCUAAAUCAUUGUUUCCUGUUGAACCCCGAAUCUUUGGUUGUACUUGCUUUGUGAGGGAUGUUCAUCCAAAAGUUUCUAAAUUGGAUCCAAAGUCUCUUACAUGUGUUUUCCUUGGAUAUUCGCGGCUUCAAAAAGGAUACAGAUAUUUUUCUCCAACUCUUAAUCGUUAUGUUG
rnacentral:misc_RNA from 1 species